UUUAGCGGCGGACCCGGUUGAGUAACACGUGGGUAACCUGCCCAUAAGACUGGGAUAACUCCGGGAAACCGGGGCUAAUACCGGAUAANAUUUUGAACCGCAUGGUUCGAAAUUGAAAGGCGGCUUCGGCUGUCACUUAUGGAUGGACCCGCGUCGCAUUAGCUAGUUGGUGAGGUAACGGCUCACCAAGGCAACGAUGCGUAGCCGACCUGAGAGGGUGAUCGGCCACACUGGGACUGAGACACGGCCCAGACUCCUACGGGAGGCAGCAGUAGGGAAUCUUCCGCAAUGGACGAAAGUCUGACGGAGCAACGCCGCGUGAGUGAUGAAGGCUUUCGGGUCGUAAAACUCUGUUGUUAGGGAAGAACAAGUGCUAGUUGAAUAAGCUGGCACCUUGACGGUACCUAACCAGAAAGCCACGGCUAACUACGUGCCAGCAGCCGCGGUAAUACGUAGGUGGCAAGCGUUAUCCNGAAUUAUUGGGCGUAAAGCGCGCGCANGUGGUUUCUUAAGUCUGAUGUGAAAGCCCACGGCUCAACCGUGGAGGGUCAUUGGAAACUGGGAGACUUGAGUGCAGAAGGAGGAAAGUGGANUUCCAUGUGUAGCGGUGAAAUGCGUANAGAUAUGNAGGAACACCNNUGGCGAAGGCGACUUUUCUGGUCUGUAACUGACACUGAGGCGNGAAANCGUGGGAAGCAACCAGGAUUAGAUUCCCCUGGNCGUCCNCCCGGUAAACGAUAAUUNNUAAGUGUUGGNGGGUUUCCNCCNUUNAUUGNNGAAGUUAANNCAUUAAGCANUCNCCNUGGGGAGNNCGGCCGCAAGGNNNAAACUCAAAGGAAUGGACGGGGGCCCGCCCAAGCGGUGAACCAUGUGGUUUAAUUGGAAGCAACGNGAAGACCCUUACCAGGUUUUGACUUCUUUUGACAACCNUAGAGAUAGGGUUUUUCCUUNGGGACCAGAGUNCCAGGUGGUCCAUGGUUGUNGUCAGCUNGGGUNGUGAGAUGUUGGGUUAAGUCCCGCAANAAGCGCACCCCUUGUUNUUAGUNGCCAUCAUUAAGUUGGCCAUUUUAAGGUGANUCCCGGNGCCAAACCGGAGGAAGGUGGGGAGGANGUCAAAUCAUCAUCCCCCUUAUGCCUUGGGNUCCCCANGUGNUCCAAUGGACGGUACAAAGAGNUGCAAGACCNNGAGGUGGAGNUAUUUUCAUAAAACGGUUUUCAGUUNGGAUGGUAGGNUGCAAUUNCCNUCCAGGAAGNGGGAAUCNUUGGUAAUCNGGGAUCACCAUGCCGGGGGGAAUAGGUUCCCGGCC
rnacentral:rRNA from 1 species